rnacentral:lncRNA from 1 species
UCAAAAGUCAAACCGGGUCAGAUAAAAAUGGCGAGUUCUCCAGCCUCCCCACUCCAAUGCCUCUCCACCUUCAAAAGCACAACCGUCCUCGCCAAUCCCCCUUCCUCUUCGGCAUUGCCACCGAUCCCAUUUUCUCCGCCUUCCUUCUCCUCCACCUCCGUCUCCUCCGCCGCCCGCUCCUCUUGCUCUCACGUCUCCACCGCCGAGAAGCUCCAGCACGCCAUCUGCCUCCUUGAGGACAUAAGCUGCCACAGAGUUCACAAUAUUCAUACCCCAUGCUUUUACAUCAGAAACUAGCGACUUCUUUUCCUUCUCCAUUCCCAAUCUCAAGUCUCAACCAACAGAAACCCCAAAACCCAAAACCCUGCUUCUCUCUUUCCCAUUCUAGAUCUUUCCUUUUAGGUUUUUCCCAAUUUAUAAAACAAAGGGAGGUAGCGACAAAGUGCAAGUUAUGCAAGCACUCACUCACCUCCGACAGAGAGAAGAGAGAGACCCAGCAACAACCCUCAAAUCUUGCCCAUCACCAAAAUCCAAUAAUCCCAUAUCGAAAUUCAAGGCCGAAAGACAAGCACCUCCAAUAUGCAAUCUGAGCCCGAUCUCACAAAGUCGCUGUCCAAGCCCGCUCUUUGAUCCCGAUGUCGCCUCCCCCAUAAAUGUGAUAGAACCAGACUUCGUCAGUUUUUUGACUAUAAUAUAAAAGUAAGCUCAGUUAUAAUCCACUAAAUAGAUGACUCAUGUUUUGCCACGUGUCACUUACAAGGCUGGUACACUUGCACCUUGGUGCAUACCAGAACUUUCGCCUUAAGGUUGUUUUAUGAUUAACUCACAUAAUAAAGAAGGUGUGUGAAUAGCAAAAUAGGGUGUGCUAAUAGUGUUGGGAUUAGUGUCUAUCCCUCUAUGGUGGAGAUAUUUUGCACGUGUCACUUAAAAGGCUGGUACACUUGCACCUUGGUGCUAAUAGUGUUGGGUUUAGUGCCUAUCCCUCUAUGGUGGAGAUAUUUUGCACGUGUCACUUAAAAAACUGGUACACUUGCACCUUGAUGCAUACCAGAACUUUCGCCUUAAAGUUGUUUUAUGAUUGACUCACAUAAUAAAAAAGGUAUGUGAAUAACAAAAUAAGGUGUGCUAAUAGUGUUGGGUUUAGUGCCUAUCUCUCUAUGGUGAAGAUAUUUUUCAUGGUAUGAAUGCAUGAUGAUUAUGGUUUGUGCAUUCAUGGUGGCUAACUUAUGCAUAGUAAUUGAUGCAUAAUUAAGUGCAUGUAUUGGACAUAAAUACAUGAUGAAGUUGAUGCAUUGGGAAUAAAUGCAUGGUGUAGUUCAUGAUGUGUCUCUUAGCCUUCAUAGGGAGUUAAGGAGGGAGAUUGAAGGUUGGUUCAUGAAUGGUCUUCCUAUGGAGUUAAUGAGGAAGAUGAAUGAAUGGUCAUUGAUAGGGUAAGUGUAAGAGACUUAUAUCAAUGGUAUAAAUAGAUGAAGCUUGUGUGGAAGUAAGACAACGAGAGAACACAACAAGAGAGGGAGAACUCUAAGGGACUUCAAGACGUAGAAGAUAUGGAGAGUUGUGUUCAAAGGCGUGUAUAGCUUUAGAGAGUUGUGUUCAAGGAUGAGUGUAGCUCUUGAGAGUUGUGUUCAAGAGCAUGUAUAACUCUUGGUGUAGAGUGGUCUUCUAGGUUGAGAGACGGUGUACAAUAGUGUAUCCUUUUGGAUAAAAUAGUGUAUCUUUUUGGUUAGGUAUAAACUUGAGCGGUGUAUUAUGUACUUGUGUUAUUCUCUCAUUGUGAAGAUGAAAGCUCUCCGAGGACGUAUGCAAGGAAAUUGGCCGAACCUUGUUAAAUCUUGUUGUUUGCUUGGCUUAGUUGAUUAUUUCUUCUUUCCAUCUCUACUACUAUUACUUGCAUGGCGAGAGGAUUAAUUUCCUAACAAAUAUAUAGCACCACCCUUUUUUUAUGCUACUUAAUUUGCAUAUAUAUGUCUGCUUCUUCCAUUUUGUUGCUUUCCCUUGUUCCUAUGCGUACCAAGUGGAAAGCUCCAACUCACGGUAUGUUUAAGCUUAAUUGUGAUGCCUCUGUUGGUAGUAAUGGUGAAUGGGUGGGUCUUGGUGGUGUGGUGUGUGGGAGUGAUGGGAAUUUAUUAAUGGCUUUUGGAGAGAGAGUGGCUGGCAGGUAUAGUCCUUAUGUAGCAGAACUACAAGCUAUUAUUCAGGGACUUGAGAUGUUAGUUGAUAGGGGAUGGACUCAUGUCAUUGUUGAGUCUGAUUGUACAGAGGCUGUGAGCAUGAUUAAUGGGGAUAUGAAGAGGGUUUUGCUUUUGCUCAUAAAUGGGUACGUCUUGAUUGAAAAGGCAAAAUUGUUGCUAGAGUCCCUUAGCUUGGAGUGCAUCUUCUUUGUUCUUCGCGAUGGUAAUGGUGUAGCCCAUGAAAUUGCAAAUAAGGUAGCCUGGUUAGAGGGGCGUCAUGUUUGGUUAGGGGUUGAGCCCGAUUAACUCAUGGAUGUCAUCAAUGGUGAUAGACCCGUAACAUUUUCUAGUAAAUAGGGAAGCGUGUGGAACAUCUUUGGUAUCAGCCGAUAGUAUAUAUAUAUAUAUAUAUAU